rnacentral:rRNA from 1 species
CAGUAGCCACGGGAAUACGUAGGUGGCAAGCGUUGUCCGGAAUUAUUGGGCGUAAAGGGCUCGCAGGCGGUUUCUUAAGUCUGAUGUGAAAGCCCCCGGCUCAACCGGGGAGGGUCAUUGGAAACUGGGAAACUUGAGUGCAGAAGAGGAGAGUGGAAUUCCACGUGUAGCGGUGAAAUGCGUAGAGAUGUGGAGGAACACCAGUGGCGAAGGCGACUCUCUGGUCUGUAACUGACGCUGAGGAGCGAAAGCGUGGGGAGCGAGCAGGAUUAGAUACCCCCGUAGUCCCUGUCUCUUAUAC